GAUGAACGCUGGCGGCGUGCCUAAUACAUGCAAGUCGAGCGAACAGACGAGGAGCUUGCUCCUCUGACGUUAGCGGCGGACGGGUGAGUAACACGUGGAUAACCUACCUAUAAGACUGGGAUAACUUCGGGAAACCGGAGCUACUACCGGAUAAUAUAUUGAACCGCAUGGUUCAAUAGUGAAAGACGGUUUUGCUGUCACUUAUAGAUGUAUCCGCGCCGCAUUAGCUAGUUGUUAAGGUAACGGCUUACCAAGGCAACGAUGCGUAGCCGACCUGAGAGGGGGAUCGGCCACACUGGAACUGAGACACGGUCCAGACUCCUACGGGAGGCAGCAGUAGGGAAUCUUCCGCAAUGGGCGAAAGCCUGACGGAGCAACGCCGCGUGAGUGAUGAAGGUCUUCGGAUCGUAAAACUCUGUUAUUAGGGAAGAACAAAUGUGUAAGUAACUAUGCACGUCUUGACGGUACCUAAUCAGAAAGCCACGGCUAACUACGUG
rnacentral:rRNA from 1 species